UGGGGAAUAUUGGACAAUGGGCGAAAGCCUGAUCCAGCCAUGCCGCGUGUGUGAAGAAGGUCUUCGGAUUGUAAAGCACUUUAAGUUGGGAGGAAGGGCAGUAAGCGAAUACCUUGCUGUUUUGACGUUACCGACAGAAUAAGCACCGGCUAACUCUGUGCCAGCAGCCGCGGUAAUACAGAGGGUGCAAGCGUUAAUCGGAAUUACUGGGCGUAAAGCGCGCGUAGGUGGUCCGUAAAGUUGAAUGUGAAAGCCCCGGGCUCAACCUGGAACGGGCAUCGAAAACUGGGGGGUUAGGUAGGGCAGAGGGUGGUGGAAUUUCCUGUGUAGCGGUGAAAUGCGUAGAUAUAGGAAGGAACACCAGUGGCGAAGGCGACCACCUGGGCUCAUACUGACACUGAGGUGCGAAAGCGUAGGGAGCAAACAGG
rnacentral:rRNA from 1 species